GCAACCCCAGGUCAGGCGGGCCACCUGUCG
rnacentral:rRNA from 1 species